rnacentral:rRNA from 1 species
CGGCAACAGCUCAAAUUUGAAAUCUGGCCUCUUUGGGGUCCGAGUUGUAAUUUGUAGAGGAUGUUUCUGGCGACGUGCCUUCCGAGUUCCCUGGAACGGGACGCCAUAGAGGGUGAGAGCCCCGUCUGGUUGGACACCGAUCCUCUGUGAAACUCCUUCGAC